GAUGAACGCUGGCGGCGUGCUUAACACAUGCAAGUCGAACGGAACACCCUUGAAGGAGUUUUCGGACAACUGAGAGGACUGUUUAGUGGCGGACGGGUGAGUAACGCGUGAGUAACCUGCCUUGGAGUGGGGAAUAACACAGAGAAAUUUGUGCUAAUACCGCAUAAUGCAGCUGAGUCGCAUGGCUCUGGCUGCCAAAGAUUUAUCGCUCUGAGAUGGACUCGCGUCUGAUUAGCUAGUUGGCGGGGUAACGGCCCACCAAGGCGACGAUCAGUAGCCGGACUGAGAGGUUGGCCGGCCACAUUGGGACUGAGACACGGCCCAG
rnacentral:rRNA from 1 species